GCUGCGUCAGUCGAGAAAGUUUCUAUCAUCGUUCGCAGUUAUUAAACGACGUUCUUUGUCUAUUUCAAUUGACCGACUCCUUGUUCAACCUAAGUUGUUUUAUUUCAUCGAUUUUGAGGCAUAAAGUUUCUACAAGGAAGUCUCACUUACGACACGCGAUAUAUUAGCCUCAUGGCAUUGCAACAACGUGCAAAAGAAAUUUCUGAGUUUAACGAACCAAAAUCAAACGAAGAGAAGGAAAAACUAUUUGCAAGUGACAUUUUGGACUCUUUUCCAACUCAACACAGCGGGUCUUAUG